AAGCCCAGCACCGCCCCCUCCAUCCGGGCUCUGGACUCGGGGACUUUAACCGACCCCCUCCCUCCGGAUCCCCGAGAGAGACCCACUCCAUCAAUCACAACCACUUAACUCUCUCCGGGCUUGAGGCCCAAGAUGCCCCUCCGCGCGCCGCUCCAGCCUCAGGGGACGCGGGAGGAAUCGGGGAUGGAGCAAGGCUUGGGGCAGACAACUAGCAAAAGGAAGAAGGAAAGCAGAUGGAGUAAGUGUGAGCGGGGUAAUGUCUUAGUGUAGUGUGGAGAAAAACAGAAAUGGAUCUGGAAAGAAAGAUAAGCAGCCAAGAUUGCCAUGGCAACAGCAGGGCGGAGUCUGUGGAGUUGAAACCAGGACACGGCGAGAGGAAGAGUUAUAUAACCGGGAGCAGCCGAGAAGGACGAGUGGAGUCGGGGACAGGCAGCCCGAAAUGAGCAGGGAUGUGUGCGCGCGCGCGUGUGUAAAGAGCGUCAAGAGAAGUGGCGAAGAAACGUCAGGGAUGGGAGUGACUGUGGUGCACAUCCUAGAGGAAGAACUCACGCGCAGAGGGGGCGCAUGGCUCGGGAGGAGUCGCCGGGGCCCUCCGGGGCUGACCGGCAGCGCCCUACCCCACCACCACCACCAGUCCCUGAGCCCGGCGAGUGAAGCCUCGGGAAGG